rnacentral:lncRNA from 1 species
AAAGGGGCCUCUGGCGUGCUCAAGGACAUACUUCUUUGGAGCUACUCAUGUUCCUUACCUGGGUGAUGAUGAGAAGCUGCCCAGGACAACUGAGCAAAUGUAAGUUCCUGUGCCAUUUGUUUCCUCUUCUCAAAGCUGAGUUCUCCCCAAGGCCCUGCUGCCUCCCCUUGAUGUCAGCACUGCUGAGGGCUGCAGUUUAUGAGGCAGACACUACUGUAUAUGGCCCAGUCAGUCUGCAGCCUAGGCCAGAGGACUAUGCCAGCUUUGCCACCUGCUCCUCCCCUGGAACGCCUCCUGAGCUUCCUGUGUAUGCCCAUACAUUUGUAUGACAUAACUUCUCUUCUUGCAUUUCAUACACAGGAAAAAAAUGAGAAUUUUUUUCUAAAACCAAAACCUUCUUCAAU